rnacentral:rRNA from 1 species
AUUGAACGCUGGCGGCAUGCUUUACACAUGCAAGUCGAACGGUAACAGGGAGCUUGCUCCGCUGACGAGUGGCGAACGGGUGAGUAAUGCAUCGGAACGUGCCGUGUAAGUGGGGGAUAACGUAGCGAAAGUUACGCUAAUACCGCAUAUUCUGUGAGCAGGAAAGCAGGGGAUCGCAAGACCUUGCGCUGAUUGAGCGGCCGAUGUCAGAUUAGCUAGUUGGUGAGGUAAAGGCUCACCAAGGCGACGAUCUGUAGCGGGUCUGAGAGGAUGAUCCGCCACACUGGAACUGAGACACGGUCCAGACUCCUACGGGAGGCAGCAGGUGGGGUAAUUUUGCGCAAGUGGGGGCAACCCUGACGCAGCGACGCCGCGUGGGUGAUGAAGGCCUUCGGGUUGUAAAGCCCUGUUGGGGGGGAAGAUAAUGACGGUACCCCCUGAGGAAGCCCCGGCUAACUACGUG